AUAUACAGGAAACUUCUUGCCAGCCUUCACAGGCACAUCUCUGAGGCUCUCUAGGUGGGCUUGGCAAUAGUUUGUUACGUAGCAUCUCCUUGUCCCAUACAGUGUUCCUAUUGGUAUUUUGUACCUCAGCAAGUCACUGCUGUUUUAACCCCAGAUUCUUACUUUCACUUCUCUAUUUUUUCCGUGUGGCUCUUCUUUCUUUUUAUUUCAUUUUACAUUUUUCCAGUGUCUCUACAGUUGAGAGAUGCUCGAAAGAUUUGUGACAGACCAAUAUAAUGAGUUCUUGGAAUGCUGGUACUGUGGAACUGAGGCUGCACGAGAGAUAACACCAUUUACAGAAAGCGGCAUCUAAGAAGUAGAAGAGACAUAUUUCAGUGGUUUCAAAGGAAGCCCUAGGGACGCAGACAGGAUUAAAAUAGGGAACAAGAAUUUCAACCACAGUUGCUGAAUUUUUCAAGGCAAAGGAAGAAGGAUAUUACAUAGUGCUGUAAUUUCCAAAUCAUGAGACAUUUUACUAUUAUUAAAGGCAUAAUUUGGGCCUUUGAGACCAUGUCCCUUACCCCCCGCCAAAGUGUCAAGACUCACAUCUUUAAUUCAACAAUCUUUGUAUUAAUUACCUCUGGAUAA
rnacentral:lncRNA from 1 species